GAACAUUACGUUUCUUUCUUAUUACAAAAGGAAGAAUUCAAAAGGAACCUUAUCGAUCGAGACAUUCAUCAACUUUUCAUUAGCUUGAAACUAAGAAUGUUAGAUGUCUAUAUAUAUCUGAGGAUGAUUUUUCCAGGAGCUAAAGAAGGUGAUAAAAGAGAGAGGAGCCUGUUCGUAAAAAAUUACCCACACUACAACGAUAAUAUUGCAGCAAACAAAAUGAAAAGAAAAAUACGCCAGAAAUUUGUUAUCGAGGUUCACCCAAUUAGG
rnacentral:lncRNA from 1 species